rnacentral:lncRNA from 1 species
ACCUUAAUCAAUUAUACAUUUAUAAAGUCACACAGUAUAGUUUAAUUAUUUAUUUAGUAUUAAUACCGUGAUAGGAAAUAGGGUGAGGGGUCUUUACUUAUUUUGGGGUCUGAAUUCGACUCUACAGUGUGCCUACAGGCUGUCCCUAAUUUCCCUGAAAUUUUUCUGGAAAACUGAAAUGCACUACCGGUACUUGCACGUGUCCCAAAAAAUUCCAAAUCAGACCUAGGGCCCCUUUCGGCCAAUAUCGGAAUUCUGGCACGGCGGCUCCGCCGCAAGCGGCGGUGAUUCACCUCGGGUUGGCCGUUUUUGGCUGAAUUCGUCACACUUGCAUCGAUCC